GCGGAGACACUGUGUUCACGGCUUAGAGGACCAGGAGAAGGGGCGGCAGAGCCACCUACUGCACGCUGGAGGCUGCAGCCUGCUGUACCGCGGCUGGCCUCGCUGCAGUGGGUGGUGGUGACGGAAACUGCAGCGGCUGGAGCGAAGGACAUGCACUGUCGUCACAACGGUGAUGAGCUGGAAAUUAAUUGCUGACAUUUGAAAACCACCAAACCAAUACAUAAGUCCCAGAGACAGAAUUUUGCUCUUGCCACCCAGGCUGAAGUGCAGUGGCACUCGGCUCAGUGCAACCUCUGCCCCAGAUUCAAGCAAUUCUCCUGCCUCAGUCUCCACAGUAGCUGGAACUACCGCCUCCCAGAUUCAAGCAAUUCUCCUGCCUCAGUCUCUGCAGUAGCUGGAACUACAGGGAACAUGACAUCCUCUUCCCAGGGUACACCCACCUGCAGAGGGCCCAACCCCAUCACUGGAGCCACUGGAUUCUGAGACUUGAGUGCAAUGGCACGAUCUCAGCUCACUGCAACCUUCACCUCCGAGGUUCCAGUAAUUCUCCUGGCUCAGCCUCCCAAGUAGCUGGGAUUACAGCUGAGUUCCUGUUCUAGGCUUCAUUCUGCAUGACCCAUCUCAGCAGGAUGGCCAGGGACCUCAUCCUCUGUGGCACCAAGGAAUUCAGCUUCAUGUAGCUCUCAGAUGCCUACAGACCUGGCCAGUCAGCUGCUGGACAAGACAAGGGCCUAGCCCUUUCAGUGCCUGCAUCUUUGUCUGCAGCACCAGAAGCAGCCUGAUGCCCCAGAAGAAAAAACCCCGACAGCUUGGAGCUGAUCUGGAGCAAAGCAAGGGUGUGUGUUUGGGCAGGGCACUGGAAAAGGCAAUGCACCUGACCUCUGGGGAAGCUGAUCUGAGAGGCACGCGGGACGUCUUGGUGUGGGGAAUCUGUGUGGAGAUGCGUCUGGAGACAGUGAGUCAUACUUCCUGACCUUAUAACCAUGCAGCUCAGCAGUCUCUGUGAGAGUCGGCUCCCUGCAAUUUGUGUUCCAGGAUCCAUGGAGCACGUAACACAUCCUGAUGCUGUUCUCAGCCUUCUAUGGCCUCUUGGUCACCGUUUCCUACCAUCUGAGCUGGCAGAGCAGUGACCCAUCUGUGUUCAUGUCCUUCAUUCAAUGCAGACUGUUUCCUAAGUUUUUACAUCAAAAUCUGGAAGAGUCAGCUGCUGAUCCUCUCCCCAAGAAGAUGAAAGAUUCUGUGGUGCCUCACAGGCCAGGAAUGGUGGCUGACACCUGGAAUCCCAGCACUGUGGAGUUUGAGUUUAAGACCAGCCUGGCCAAUAUGGUGAAACCCUGUCUCUACUGAAAAAAAUACAAAAAUUACCUGG